rnacentral:lncRNA from 1 species
CAGCAAACAAGGCUUUGAGGCCCUGAAAAGGGAAAGGGGGGAAUGCCACAUUUACCGGAAAAAAGGUGGGGUUGAUCUCAAUGACUUGUGGAGUAAAGUCAGGAUGGACAGCGAAGCUGAGUAUUCUCUCUGCACAAACAACUGCAUCCACUUCGCUCUCUCGCUCCUGGGCCUGGAGAAGUUCUACUCAGAACUGGUGCAAAUCCAAGAUGAAGAUGACAGCUGCUCCACUGGGGCGGACACUUGUAGCCCACCCCCUCCAGAGGAGCAGCGGAGCAGCCACACGGCGUGAGGGGUGGCAGCCCCGUGUCCCCCAAGGACGAACCCCUGACCCACAGAGGAGCCUCAGCAUCGCCCCGCGCACCCCAACAACUUCCCAGGGAUGGAGCUUUUCUUUGGGAGGGUGGGGGACAUUGCUUUCUGCUUCCUGGAGCCUAAUUGCCAUGGACUCAUCGGAUGUUUUAUUAAAACUUUACUACCUGAAA